rnacentral:rRNA from 1 species
AAGUCGGAAUCGCUAGUAAUCGCGAGUCAGCAUAUCGCGGUGAAUACGUUCCCGGGUCUUGUACACACCGCCCGUCACACCAUGGGAGUCGAUAACGCCCGAAGUCAGUGACCCAACCGUAAAGGAGGGAGCUGCCGAAGGCGGGAUGGAUAACUGGGGUGAAGUCGUAACAAGGUACC